UAGCUCUAAAGCAGAUGUGCCCAAAAGGUAGAUCCCCAGAUGUUGUAGAACUAUAACUCCCAUGAUACUUUGCCUUCUUCUAGAAUGACAAAGCAUCAUGGAGGCUGUAGUUUUAAAUUAUUUGGGGAUCUACCUUUUGGGCACCCCUGCUAAAGGUAUU